AGAUUGAACGCUGGCGGAAUGCCUUACACAUGCAAGUCGAACGGCAGCACGGGAGCAAUCCUGGUGGCGAGUGGCGAACGGGUGAGUAAUACAUCGGAACGUGCCCAAUCGUGGGGGAUAACGUAGCGAAAGCUACGCUAAUACCGCAUACGAUCUACGGAUGAAAGCAGGGGACUCGCAAGAGCCUUGCGCGAAUGGAGCGGCCGAUGGCAGAUUAGGUAGUUGGUGGGGUAAAGGCUCACCAAGCCUUCGAUCUGUAGCUGGUCUGAGAGGACGACCAGCCACACUGGGACUGAGACACGGCCCAGACUCCUACGGGAGCAGCAGUGGGGAAUUUGGACAAUGGGCGCAAGCCUGAUCCAGCCAUUCCGUGUGCAGGAUGAAGGCCUUACGGUUGUAACUGUCUUUGUAACGGUAACGAAAACGUCCUUUCUACUAAGUACGUAGGGGUCUAGUGACGUAACCGUAAGAAUAAGACGACCGUACUAACUACGUACCA
rnacentral:rRNA from 1 species